UUCCCCACAGUUACAGAAACAUUAGGUUGCAAACCUAAAAAGAAAGGGGAAGA
rnacentral:tRNA from 1 species